rnacentral:rRNA from 1 species
AGAGUUUGAUUUUGGCUCAGGAUGAACGCUGGCGGCGUGCCUAACACAUUCAAGUCGAACGGUGACGGGACUUCGGUCCCCGAUCAGUGGCGGACGGGUGAGUAACGCGUGAGCAACCUGCCUUUGCCCGGGGGAUAACAGCCGGAAACGGCUGCUAAUACCGCAUAACGUAUUCGGACCGCAUGAUCUGAAUACCAAAGAUUUAUCGGGCAUAGAUGGGCUCGCGUCUGAUUAGAUAGUUGGUAAGGUAACGGCUUACCAAGUCUGCGAUCAGUAGCCGGACUGAGAGGUCGAACGGCCACAUUGGAACUGAGAUACGGUCCAGACUCCUACGGGAGGCAGCAGUGGGGAAUAUUGGGCAAUGGGCGAAAGCCUGACCCAGCGACGCCGCGUGAAGGAAGAAGGCCCUCGGGUUGUAAACUUCAGUCAACAGGGAAGAAACAAAUGACGGUACCUGUGGAGGAAGCCACGGCUAACUACGUGCCAGCAGCCGCGGUAAUACGUAGGUGGCGAGCGUUAUCCGGAUUUACUGGGUGUAAAGGGUGUGUAGGCGGGUCUGCAAGUCAGAUGUGAAAAUUAUGGGCUUAACCCAUAACUUGCAUUUGAAACUGUGGAUCUUGAGUGUCGGAUGGGUAAAUGGAAUUCCCAGUGUAGCGGUGAAAUGCGUAGAUAUUGGGAGGAACACCGGUGGCGAAGGCGGUUUACUGGACGAUUACUGACGCUGAGACACGAAAGUGUGGGGAGCAAACAGGAUUAGAUACCCUGGUAGUCCACACUGUAAACGAUGAAUGCUAGGUGUAGGGGGCGUUAGUCCUCUGUGCCGCAGUUAACACAAUAAGCAUUCCACCUGGGGAGUACGCCGGCAACGGUGAAACUCAAAGGAAUUGACGGGGGCCCGCACAAGCGGAGGAACAUGUGGUUUAAUUCGAUGAUACGCGAGGAACCUUACCCGGGCUUGAAUUGCAGAGGGAUGUGGCAGAGAUGCCCCAGUCAGCAAUGACCUCUGUGAAGGUGCUGCAUGGUUGUCGUCAGCUCGUGCCGUGAGGUGUCGGCUUAAGUGCCAUAACGAGCGCAACCCUUGUCCACGGUUGCCAUCAGGUAGUGCUGGGCACUCUGUGGAGACUGCCAUCGCAAGAUGUGAGGAAGGUGGGGAUGACGUCAAAUCAGCACGGCCCUUACGUCCGGGGCUACACACGUGUUACAAUGGGGGGCACAGCGCGUUGCUACCGGGUGACCGGCUGCGGAUCGUGAAAUCCCCUCUCAGUUCGGACUGGAGUCUGCAACCCGACUCCACGAAGCUGGAUUCGCUAGUAAUCGCGCAUCAGCCAUGGCGCGGUGAAUACGUUCCCGGGCCUUGCACACACCGCCCGUCA